UGUCCGCGUGUGGCCGCGGGGCGGGCAGCAGCCUCUGGCGGGCUCUCAACCUUCUCCAGCUGCUGAAAAGCAGGUGUGCGGAGCCCGAGUGCUGGGCGCCCUCCGCUACACUCGGCGCGGGGAUGCCGGACACUAGGCGUUGCCGUCGGCCGGCGGGUUUGCACUUGGACCUCUGCGACCGCUCGGCUGCGAAGCCAGCCCUUGCCGGCCCAAGUGACUUUUGAUAGAUGAUGUGCCAGGAAUCGAACCCCAGGCAAAUCGUAACCUCUGCCAUGUCUGAACCACCUUCUGGGAUGAAGGAAUUACUAAGCGUCAAAUUUUAGGAGAUGCAGUGUUAGUGCAAGAGAAGUCAUUUGAAAUGAACGUCUAGAAGCCACCUACCAGAGUUGUAAAACUGCCUGGUUCUAUAUCUUAGUUGUGUUAAAAGAGUAAACAUUGGUACAAAUCACAAUAAUAAA